UGAGACCAGGGGCAAGUGCAUUCUGUGGCCUUGGCAGGAACCUCUGUAAAAGCAUGAAUGUGGUUCUUAGCCCAGUAUUUAUUUAAUGUCCUGGGUCCCUUUCCUAUCCUUCAUCAGCUUCCCACCCCCCUGGACCAAAUGCUGGUCACUGCAAGUGGCUUCCCCCAGCCUCUGCAGCCGGAGCACACAUUUGGCAGUGAACCAGCUUUAUUCCUGGAGUGUGGCACACUUACCUCUGCUGUGGCAACCUGUAACCUGCCUCCAUCCUCCUGAAACCCUCUUGCCUGCACAGACCAGUGAGACUUUCCUGCUGGCCAGGGAGAUGCUGUAUCCAGCUCCAGCUCCUCCCCUGAUAUUUCUGCUUUCCCCAAGGCAUGAAUCCCCCCAGGGCUUUUGGUGAGCUGUGGCUUUCGGAAUGUGGAGAGCUGCAACCUGUGUUAGCCACUCCUCCCCUUAGGAUCCCUUUGCCUUUUCCUGCUUUUUAUCUGGUGAGAAGUUUUAUGUGACUUAACUAUUCAAUUAAGGUUGUUUUUUAACUUCUUGCUCGUGCUCAGGCUGCGUGGAAAUUGUUCUUGAGAACAUUUGCAUCAGUUCAUCUGAAGUCAAUUCCUUGGCAAACUAAGCAAGGUAGCUAUAAUCCAUCCACAUCUAUCUGCACCAGUUUGACUAAUAACACCACUGAAAUCCCUGAUGUUAGUUAAAACAAGCCCCCCUGUGUAAAUGAAAGGGGUUUUGCAAGGGAUUUAACCCUUUGCCUUCCCUUCUCAGUUGUGCAGAUGGAGCAGUGAAUUCCCAGCUGGCAGCCUGGGAACUUUCCCUCAUCACAGGGAGAUCAGGUACGUGGAGAGUGCUCAGAGCUGGGGUUGGGGCCAGAUGGGUUGUGAGGCCCCUUCCAAGGUUAUCAGCUCUGAUGAGGUGUCCAAAUGCAAAACACGUGUGUGCAGAGAGACAGCAGUGAAAUAGUUCUUGACUCAACACAGCAUCUUUAAAAUCAUUUUCAGGACUGUUGUGCUGGAGAGGCUUUAAGGCCUCUUUUCCUCUGAGUCACAACACUGAUUUUCCUUUUUCCUGAGUCUUUUCUUUCCUUGAGUUUUCAUCCUUGAUGAAUACAAAGCUGCUUUGUGGCCUUGCAGAAUGCAUUGGCUGCAUUCCUGCAGCUGGUGGUGUUCAAAGGGGUCCUGUUGCAUCUAAAAAACAGAUGGGCUGGUGGUGGACCUGUACAAAGUGUGGGAGAGGGUGUUUCCAGGAGCUUUUGUGUGGGGCCAUGUUUAAUUUUGUGGUCUUUGCUCUCACGCAGGGAUGAAGUCCAUCAGCUGGUAUAGCCUGUGAUGGGACACUGUCUCAGAGUGAUGGCAUGCCCUUGGAAACCUCUCAUCGCCCUCUAAUGUGGCAGCCAGGUCUGGGAUGUGCAAGCAGACCUCAUUCCCAGGCUGGGGGCCCCUGGCCAUCCGAAAAAACUGUGGGCAGCCAACCACCAGCAGUCAGAACAGAUCCCGUCGUUCCUGAGUGCAUCCUCUCCUGCUGGCAGAGCAGCCAUUGACAGAUCCAUGAUUAUCUCAGCCAUGGAAGUUGCUCAGGGGAAGCUUAUUCUCAAAUUGCAUUUUGGAAGCCAAACAAGCAAACCCCAGGUUAUGCAGCUUCUCAGUGGCCACGUGUGGCUUUGCUGCUAUCCCCAGCCUGGAGGAACCUUACUGCCUCUGGCAGAGAGUUUUGAGCCCAAGGGCUACAUUUCAGCCUGUUAUUGAACCCCAGUGGCAUGGAAGUGAACACAAAAAAUGGAACAAACACCAUGAAACCCACUUAAUUUCAAAUAAUUUCUUGGCUAUUUCCACCACCAUCACAGUUCUAGCGCUAGUACAUAAUCUUCAAGUAGCAGCACAUUUUGGCAAUUUCUCUUGGUCAUGAGCAGCCAGAAUCAAGCUUUUUUUUCCCCUGAAUCUUUUUAAGAAGUUUCCCUGUUCUGCUGAAUUCUAGGAGUAAGAAGGCAGAAAGUCAAGAUGCUAAAAAAGACUAUGAAUCUUGCUUGUGCUGUAGUUGAGAAAUGAAAGUUUCUUCCCUUUUGUAAAUGAUUUCCAAUAGUUUCAACAUUCUCUUCCUUUUUUUUCUUUUUGUCAUAGCAAAAAAAAUGAGGAAAAAAGGGGGAGAAGUAAUGGAAAGGACAAAUGUUUCAUUUUUCCAGUUAAUCCCUUAAGAACUUUAAAGAGUAAAGAAGUGGCUCAUGCUGAUUUCUGGAAAAAGGCAGAGAAACUCUUAAUUUCUGCCUGUCUGUCGUUUUUUUCCCCCCCUCUUGAAAUAAUUCAUCCUGCCUUAAAUUUAAACGUUUGAUUUGGAAACUGGGGCAGAAGGUGAGUGUUUGUGGGUGUGUUGGCAGGGGCAUCCUGAGCAGAGAAAAGCUUUUGGAAGGGCAGGAUGCAGCCCCAGCACUGCAGGGUGAGCUAUACUGGGACUCUCCUUGGGCAAAACCAUGGUGGGUGCUGCUGGGGUGGACGAGGAGGUGAAGAUGCCAGCCCAGAAAAUCUUUAAAUACUUCCAACACAGGAGCUCAGCUCCCACUCCUGUUAAUUUGGGAGCUUCUCCCAGCUGCUCUCCCUGGCUCUGAGGAAUGUCCUGCUCCUAGGGUCAGCGCCUGGGCAUCCAGCACCCCUCAGGACAGCUCUUGCUCUCUGUGCCUGGAUGUUGUGCUGGGCACCAAAGGACCAAAGAGACUGGAGGAAAAUUCCCAGCUGCAGUGAGUGAUGCAUGCCCUCCUUUCCCAUCAGAACCCCUCUGGAAGAUGUUCAGCACUAAUGCUUUGUUUCUCUCAUUUACAUGAAGGUUCCUGCAUCCACAUGCAUCCCUACUCUGGAUCACAUGGGUCUCUGCUGCAGGAGCUUGUCCUCGGGGUAGACCAAGGCUUUGCUGAGCCAGUGGACUCGUGGUUAUGUGCAGCAUGAGGGUGCUCCCGAGCCAGGUUCAAUGCUGGCAUAAAAAAAGGAGUAGAAGCUCACCAAAAACGUCCUAAGGUGGAAAUAGGGAAGGGCUAUAAGGAGGUGACGGACCCUUCGGCUCAGCUGACAGGUGGAAGCAGAGGUGUCUGGAUGAGAUGCUCCUCUGCAAGGACCAAACCAGGAGGCCAUGGCCACCCCCAGCCAAUCUCCUUGCUGCUGAUACACACACCAAAAUUUGGCCUGGCAAAGGCCUUUUCCCAGGUGACCUCCAUGCUGUUUGGUACCAAUGGAGUGAUUGCUCUGGGUCAUGUAUCCCUCAGAGUCCAAAAAGGGAGAAGAUCCCUGGUGCUCAUCUGGGGAUGCUGCACACUGUCACCCUUCCAGCUGGACCUCUGCACACCAGGAACAAGAUGGACCAGGUGCUCUGGGAUGUGUCCUCAAAAUGAGUGUCUCCUCCAAAGUCCCAGGCCACUUUGUUGACACAGAAAAGCUGAUUCCCUCUAGCAUUUAGUUCCUCCUGAGAAGUGCAUCCUUACAUCCCACUGAUUGCAUCAACUUUUUGGGCCUCUAUGUCUACAGACAAAACCAACAAAGGAAUCAAUGUCCUUGGAUUGUCUUCACUGCUGGAAAGAACUGCACAAGGAUUUCACUCUCCCUCUCAGGGUGGAUGUGCAGGCAGAGCAGUGUGCUACACAGAACAUAGCCUCCACUAAAAAGUCAGUAUUUGCCAGCGAAUAACAUACGGUUUUGUUUUGGUUUAAUUGCCUCAGAGUCAGUCUCCUAAUCUGCAUUUUAGAUCAGAGACCCCAAAAUCCUCAGCAUAGGAAAAAGUGCUACAGAGAAAGAGUGAAACAAAGACAGGUCCUGGAGCACUGGUUGUGCUGCCUGGCGUGUUGCAGCAGUGUUGCCUUGGAGCUACUUCUUCUACCCUCUGAAGACUUGUGUGAAAAUGACCAAGAAACAAAGGGCCCAGCCUGCUUCUGGAAGGGUAAAAAGCUGUUGAUGGAGCAUUGCUUGAUUGAAGAGGCUGAGGAUGGUGCCUGACUUCCUGCAUCCACAUCCUGGGAAAGCAGCUGGAAAUUGAUCCUGCUUCAGUCAUCCACUGAUGAGCUAAUUUUUAACACCAAGCAUGGGCAUCUCACCGCUGGAAUAGCAGUGCUCCAGUUCCUCGGGGAGCCUGUGAGCAGCAAGUCAGCCAGCAGCAUGGAUCGUUCUUCUGCACCCAUUGUUAUGGAAAUUGCCUUAGAGACAGUUGCUCCAGCAAACAUUUUUAGAAGCUCGAGUGAGAUGUGCAACAGGAAAACUAAGCUGGAGGUUUGCUCAUGCUCAUCACCACUGCCUGUCAUGGAGCUGGACCAGAUCUCCAGCCCGUGCCCAGGAGCUUUGAGCGGCCUCAGCUGAUGGAAGGGAAAAGCACGGAUCCAGUGACCUUUGCUUGCAUAACUGCUGCCCACAGUCCCUGCCUGACAUUUGAGGAGUGGCCGUGAGUGCUGGAGGGGGUGCACGGUGAUGGGGUGCUGGGCAAGGCAGGUGAACCUCAUCCUUGCUGGCAGAGUGCCAGGCUGAGCCCUGACCCUUCCUUUCUCUUUCUGGAAGUCACAGUGGACUCUCACGGUGGUGUCUCACCAGGAACCAAGGACAAGAAACGUCCCCCCAGCUCUUUGCUGGCAAGGCAGAGGGAUUGACCACAGUUUGUCUAUUCCCAGGGCUGUUUUGCUGCCCACAGCAAGGGAGCCAGAGCAGAGUGGAGUGUGUUUGGCUCUGUGGAAUGUUGUGUCACUCACUGCAGGUGCCAUGGGACUGAGCAAGAGGGAGCUCACAGGCUGGAGCUGGGAGGGGACCCUGUCAUCCCAGUGGAGAUGCUGGCAGUCAUGAGGUGGUGGCAAGAUGCCACCAAACAGCCCAGGCCACACUGGCCUGCCAGGUCCCCAGUUUCAGCCUGGCUUCUCCUCAGCAUCCCCCUGGCAGUGCCUGGGGUGGGGAAGGACGACUCCAUCCCAUCCCAGGCCUGCCUCCUCUGGCUUUUCCAAGCUGGCUGGUAUUGAUGCCUCCAGGCACUUCCUGCAGGACCACAGUGCCAGGUGCUGCAGAUGCUGUUGAAGCUGCUGAGCAUCCUGACCUUCACUCUGGUGAGUUGUCCAGCUUUGCAGCCAGUACAGCUGAAGGGGUAUCUUUCUCCCUGAACCUUGGAGACUCUUUAUGCCAGGGAUCCUCGGUGUUGCCAACCCCCAAAGCUCAACAGCCAGAAGCGCGAGCUCAGAAUAAGCCCCCAAGUUUCCUUUAAUAAAGGAAAUUUCAGGGGAGGAUGAGGAAGGGUAAUUCUUUGUAUUUUGCAUUCUGAGCCAUUUGUGCUUAUUUUACCUCCCGUGGUACUUUAUCUGUUACACUUGUGCUGGCUGGAAGCUCCCUUUUAUUUUGUUUUGUUUGCAUUUAAUGUGAAAACUGAGCUUUUUGGGGCAAGAAGCUGAAGCUUGGCCACAGGAACUGAGCCCUGGGCUGUGCCUGACUAUGAAAGUCAGAUGCCUUUGCUGGACAUCUGGCUGCUUUAGCUACAGAUAUCGGGGAAGAGCACUUUAAUAUUUAUCCUGAGCUAAAAAAACAAGUAGAAUGGAGAAAAAUAUACAAAGUAGGCCAUGAAAACAGGGUUUGUGAACAUCUGAGAUCCGCUCCUAAUUAAUAGCAGUUCCCAUCCCAGAAAUCAUACCAUUCAGCAAAAGUUAAUCAUCUUUGCUCAUACAUACAAUACACUUCAAGAGAGAAUGAGUCACCCUCAUUGAAAUGUCUAAUGUUAUGAAAUCCAGUGUGACUGAUGUAACAGACCCGGCUGAGCUCUCCAAAUUGGCCGGCAGCACCACGGCAGAGCGGGCUGUGUGUGAGCUGACUUCAUUGAGUUCUGCUUGUUUGCACCCAGGAUGGAUUUUCCCUUUACUUACUAGAACAGACUCAUGGCAAAGGACCCAAGAAGGAUGUGGGAGGGCAGGUGAGUGGGGCAGGAGGGGCUGGCAUUGCCAAGCCCCUGCAGUCCUCACUUCCCACCAUGGAGCUGCCUGUCCCCACUCUUGGGAGCCCACGAAGCACAGAGGCCCCGAUCCUGCAAAUAUCUGGGCACCCACGUAAUUCACAGCUCAUUGGGGUGCCUGGGACCAGCACUUUAAUAACAUCACUCUGCAUGCUUAACCAUUCACAGGCCUGGGGAUUUAUUCUUCCCUGCUUGGUUCAGAGAGGAAUGUAGGUUGAAUUCAGCAUUAAGAUUCUGCAUUGAUAUCAGCCGUUCCCUCUUAAAUUAAAUAUUAUUACCUGCAAACAUUUCCUUUUAGCACUGGGAGCCGUUUGCUUGGUGUACUUUGUUUAAAUGUCACCAUAUGAAUUACUGAAAGUAAUUUAAAUAUUUAAAGACAUAUACUGCAAGUCUAAUUUUAUUUCGAAAUCCCGAGCCAGGCUUGCAGCUGAUGCAGCAGAUAACAGCUCAGCCUGGCACCCCUGGUUCCUAGCCCAGUUCUUUAAAUUAAUAAUUUGCAUUUUCCAACACCUUUCACCCGACAAGUCUGGACUCUGAGAUUCUUUUUCUCCAGCCAGAUUUUCUUCUCUCUUUGAGGCCCUACAGCCCCUCUAGGAUGGGUGUGAGUCCCUUGGCAGAUUCUCUCCCAUCCACCCGUCCACCUUGGCCUCCUUUCAGGGGCAUCUGCUCCAUAGGGCAAACUCUGGGAGAGAUAACAUCAGAAAUGCCAGGACCCAGCAGAAGAGACAGAAUUGCUCUUGUAUUUCAUGUUUUCCAACUAGAGAAGAUCUCUCUCCCGACACAACCUUUUCAUCUCUUGUUAUCUUUAUGAACAGCUUAAAAAAAUGUACCAUUUCUGGCAUGCUGGCCCCACUGCUGAAGAGCUGUUCCUCUUCCACCUCCUUCACCUGCUGGGAUGAAAAGCUACAGGUAAUGCUGGGGAGUAAAUGAAAGGCUUUCCAUGAGGAAAUAAGCUAAAACAGUAAACAAAAUUCUGAUUCUGAAAAGCAAAACAGCUGAAGUUGUCACCAGGAAAACAUGGUGAUGAAACACUCUGGUCCUCGGAAAUUACCCUACAUGCUGUUGGAAAAUACCAUCUGACUCAACCGGCUCAGUGUGUCUGGUGCCACUGUGCUAAUAGCUUUUACCUGACCUGGAUAGCCCAGGUUUUCAAGGAAAUGAUCUUCUCCAUGAGAAGUGUCACCACCAGACCCAAGCCUUCCUGAGAAAAGCCUGGGUUAGGUGGAUGCUGGGAUUUCUCCCACUCCUGGGAGCAGCCUACCCUGAGGAGCUGUGUUCCCACCACUGGGCAGCUGAUCUGUGGGGCUGGGGCUGGCUCGGCUCUGAUCUCCCACCUCUGCUGCCACCACAGGUGGGUCUCCUAAUGCAAGGUCCAAGUUGCCUUUUAAUCAUGCUGCAGGCAUCUCCCUGGAACAUUCCUCUUGCCUGCUGCCCCGCCUGCCCUUCUCCCUCCAGAGAGGAGUCUGGCUUCUUACGCAAAGCCGGUGACUCAUUCCCCAGGAUGUCUUUGCUUAAAAGUUGCCUGGUCACCUCUUUCUCUGGUUGCUGCUUCCUUGCUUGUCAAAUCCUGAGUGAAUGAACAGUGACACGCAGGCACAAUGCACACAGGGGCUGAGAUGGCACAAGCUACUGCAGGAUCCCCCUUUCCUUGUGCCCUGUGUGUACCCAGGACAGUGUCCCCCCUCUGUUGUGGGCAGUGGUCAGAAGGAAAGCAACAUAUAUCUCUGAGCCCAUCCUUUUCUCCAGGCUCCACCACUUGAGCUAUUAAAUGCCCUGAGCUCUCCCUGCUCCCUUGGCUUUGUGCAUUUUUUUUUAGAGUUGUGCUGCCAUGAAGAGGGACUCUGAUGGGCAAAGAGGAGCUUCGUGAAGUGCAACAAGGGGAAGUAUGAACUCCUGCCACUGGGGAGGAAUAACCCCACUCAUCAGUACACACUGGGGGCCAACCAGCUGGAAAAGAACUUUGCAGGUAAAGACCUGAGGGGUCCUGGUGGACAACAAGCUGACUGUGAGCCAGAGGUACAUUCUCAAAGCCAGCAACAUCAUGGCCUGGAUUAGGAAGAGUGUUGCCAGCAGGGCAAGGGAGAAGAAAGAAGGUUUUGAUUCAUCCUUUGUGACCAAGAACUGCUGCCACUGGUGGAAACAGGACUGGCACCUGUGAGUGUUUCAGAUAUUUCUUGCCAACUCUUAGGUCCAGCAAAGUGUUGCAUGAAGGAACUUUAACCCCAUUUCAAGGAUUGGGAAGCAGGACACAGACAGAGGAAAGGGAUCUGCCCAGUGUCACAUCAUUAAGCCAGUGGUGGGUUGGGAAGGCACCAGACCCUUGUGUGAGACCUGUUUCAGUUCCCUCUGUACUGGGUCAUGUUCUAUCAGGUCAUAUAUGUGUAUCCAGGAGUUGUGAGUGUAUCCAAGAGUGUCAAACUGUCUGGACCAGUGAUCAGCAGGGAUUGCUGAAUGAGUUCACAGAAAAUUGUAACGUUGUUAAAUACAUUAAACAAACAAACAAAAAAAAGGCAAAUCAAAAAGA